rnacentral:rRNA from 1 species
GGCAAGCGUCGUGACUGGGGCGAAGUCGUAACAAGGUUUCUGUAGGUGAACCUGCAGAAGGAUCA